CAUCUCGCUGUGUCACCUAGCCUGGAGUUCAGUGGUGCCAUCAUAGCUCACUGAGGCCUCGACCUCCGGGAUUCCAGCAGUCCUCCUGCCUCAGCCUCCCAAGUAGCUGGGACUACAGGAGCACACCACCAAGCCCGGCUAAUUUUUUUCUUUUACUUUUUAUAGAGACAGGGUCUCACUAUGUUGCCCAGGCUGUAGAGAAUGCCUGAAUGCAUUUUAUUAUUUUAUUUUUUCUUUUUUGAGACAGAGUCUCCCUCUGUCACCCAGGCUGGAGUGCAAUGGCGUGAUCUCUGCUCACUGCAACCUCCGCCUCCCGGGUUCAAGCCAUUCUCCGGCCUCAGCCUCCCAAGUAGCUUGGACUACAGGCACGUGCCACCACGUUCAGCUAAUUUUUGUAUUUUUAGUAGAGAAGGGGUUUCACCAUGUUAGCCAGGCUGGUCUCAAACUCCUGACCUCAAGUAAUCCGCCCACCUGGGCCUCCCAAAGUGCUGGGAUUAUAGGCAUGAGCCACCGUGCCCAGCCCUGGGUGCCUCUUAAAUCAGACUGUACUCACCCAGGAAGAGCCAGCCACAGGCCCCGCCCCAGCUGCCCACCCUGCUCCUCAGACACGCCCCUUUCCAUUGUGACGGGCAGCAUGGCCACUGAGCCAGGGUGCAGUGGCAGCGGCUGUGUAGUUGGGGGUGGCGACAUGAGCCAUGCGAGCUAGCCUCCCAGCUGGUCCCCGGGAUCUCAGGUUACGUCGCACCCCCCGCAGUGCCGCCGGUCUGUGGGUGUCCAGAUCGACCAGCAGAGACAGAUCCUGGACUUGGACCUGGGCCUGCAGUUCCUACAGCAGCAGUACUUGGAGUUGCUGGCCAAGCUCCACUAGAAGAUCGAGCACCUGAAGUGGGAGAACAAGGGUGAGCCCAGCCACAGGGCCCUAGGCCUGCCCUGCCUCCCCAAGCGCCUGAACACGGCGGCGGCCCGCAGAGCAGAAACACAGCACAUGAACUCCAGCACCCGCCUGGGCUCAGGGAGGACACAGGGCAGCAAGCCCACGCUAGGUCCUGCCAUGCUGAGCUCUUCCCCUGCCCCAGGACAGAGACCCCCCUAGGCCCGGGGCGGUGCCCUCCUUGUCUGCCUGUCCCGCCGGGGGCAGCAUCAUUUCAAACGCUGACCCUGCCAGCCCUCCCCUCUCCAGGCAGGGUCAGGUACACAUCUGUUAAAAACUUUGUAGAAGGAAAACAUGCCCAGUGCCGGUGCACAACUGAGUGAAUUUUCUCCAACUAAACACGCCGGAUCAGGAGCAGGCAUGCCCCCGGCUUCGCCUGUGCCCACACUGUCCUCGGGCUGGGCCUUCCUAACUGCACCCUUAGCAGCUCCUCACCCCCACUGCCCACCAGAGCAGAAAGAGGGCCCGCCAGGAUGUGGCUCCGCUCCUCCCUCCCUGCUUCAGCAGAGGCUGCAGCGAGGGCACCAGUGCCUGCAGCCUCAUCUCCUUCCCCGCUCCCUGGUGCUGCCUUACCUAGGUGCUAAGUAUUCCAUCACCAGGCAUCUGUUAUGUCAGGACCCCCCUUCCCCAUGUCUUCUUGAGCCUCUCCCCAGUCCCUGAUGCCCACAGGAUCAUGACACUGACCGCAUUUGCUCAUCCAUGGCCAGGGGCUCCCGGAGUUCACCCCUGUAGCCCUGGGGCCCAGGUCCUGCCUGGCACGGUGGGCGUCCUGUAGUCAUAUCAGAUGGGAGGAUGAGGCUGAUGUGCUGGGUGGGCUCUGCCUAGGGAACAGGCAGGGUCAUUCCUGCCCUCACAUGCCCACAGCAAAGGUGUGGUGGAAAGCGGGACCUGUGGGGCAGGGCCCAGUCAGCCAGUGGUGAGCCAGGACUCUCGGGGUUCAGCAGGGGGUAGUGGACAGCCCAAGCUGCUUCUCUCAGAAUGGCUGUGGCUUCACAAGUGAUGAGAAGAGCAUGCGCUUGAUUUCAGAUCCCCAUUACAAGCUCAUAAUGAAUGAGUCACAGAAGAAAGCCAACUCUCAAGGAAAGGACAGGCCCCAGCCGGUUCCUUCAAGAAACAAGACUCUAAAGCUGACGUACCCCAGAAGGCAGACCUUGAAGAGGAGCCACUGCUUCACAACAGCAAGCUGGACAAAGUUCCUGGGGUGCAAGGGCAGUCCAACCAGCACAGGGACAGGCAGAUGAUGGCACACUCCCCGAUGAUCCUGUCCCCACACCUGCGAAAGCCCACCACACUUCAGCAGUGUGAGUGGUCAUCCACCAGCUGUGGAAUACCAACCUUCUGCAGGCCCAAGAGCUGCAGCACCUCAAGUCCCUCCUGGAAGGGAGGCAGAGGCCCCAGGCAGCCCCAAGGCCGACAGCAUCCUGACAGGACAGCCAGCCCAGAUUCAUGGAGAAGGGGACACAGUGAUGAACAACUGACAAACACAGGAAUAAUAAAUUUAUUAUAAUCACA